CCUCCAGACUCCUACGGGAGGCAGCAGUGGGGAAUAUUGCACAAUGGGGGAAACCCUGAUGCAGCGACGCCGCGUGAGUGAGGAGGUAUUUCGGUAUGUAAAGCUCUAUCAGCAGGGAAGAAAAUGACGGUACCUAACUAAGAAGCCCCGGCUAACUACGUGCCAGCAGCCGCGGUAAUACGUAGGGGGCAAGCGUUAUCCGGAUUUACUGGGUGUAAAGGGAGCGCAGGCGGCACGGCAAGCCUGAUGUGAAAGCCCGCGGCCCAACCGCGGGACUGCAUUGGGAACUACCGGGCUGGAGUGCCGGAGAGGUAGGCGGAAUUCCUAGUGUAGCGGUGAAGUGCGUAGAUAUUAGGAGGAACACCAGUGGCGAAGGCGGCCUACUGGACGGUGACUGACGCUGAGGCUCGAAAGCGUGGGGAGCAAACAGGAUUAGAUACCCGGGUA
rnacentral:rRNA from 1 species